rfam:Pseudomonadales bacterium GWC1_66_9 gwc1_scaffold_2882, whole genome shotgun sequence.
AUGCUCCUUGUUGUGUUAAGUGUUGGCAGAUAUGCGGACUCCCUGGAGUCCGACGUUAAACCCCGAACCUCUUCCUCCCCCAUAUGAAGUUCGGGGUUUUUUUUGUUCCUGA